rnacentral:lncRNA from 1 species
ACGGGGCUCUCUACGAGGCAGCAUAGCUCUGACAGAAGACAUCACAAGGAUUAGAAUAUUCAUGAAUUAUACAGGACUGCUAAACCUAGGCUCUGAUACCAAACUGACACACCCCGACCGAGAUCAAGGCAUGUUGGCCGUCACGUGAGGGUGACAUAGCCAUGUGCACAGUGCGGUAGCAAUAAGGAUAAGAAAUAUAUGAAUAAUUAAAAAUCGAAACUACUAGAGUGCACUAGAAAACAGGAAGUGUUAGGA